rnacentral:rRNA from 1 species
UUACCCGGGUUGCGGACAGUGUCUGGUGGGUAGUUUGACUGGGGCGGUCUCCUCCUAAAGAGUAACGGAGGAGCACGAAGGUUGGCUAAUCCUGGUCGGACAUCAGGAGGUUAGUGCAAUGGCAUAAGCCAGCUUGACUGCGAGCGUGACGGCGCGAGCAGGUGCGAAAGCAGGUCAUAGUGAUCCGGUGGUUCUGAAUGGAAGGGCCAUCGCUCAACGGAUAAAAGGUACUCCGGGGAUAACAGGCUGAUACCGCCCAAGAGUUCAUAUCGACGGCGGUGUUUGGCACCUCGAUGUCGGCUCAUCACAUCCUGGGGCUGAAGUAGGUCCCAAGGGUAUGGCUGUUCGCCAUUUAAAGUGGUACGCGAGCUGGGUUUAGAACGUCGUGAGACAGUUCGGUCCCUAUCUGCCGUGGGCGCUGGAGAACUGAGGGGGGCUGCUCCUAGUACGAGAGGACCGGAGUGGACGCAUCACUGGUGUUCGGGUUGUCAUGCCAAUGGCACUGCCCGGUAGCUAAAUGCGGAAGAGAUAAGUGCUGAAAGCAUCUAAGCACGAAACUUGCCCCGA